rnacentral:rRNA from 1 species
CUCAAGGGAACUCAGCAGUGAUAGACAUUAAGCCAUAAGUGAAAACUUGACUUAGUUAAGGUUAAGAGGGCCGGUAAAACUCGUGCCAGCCACCGCGGUUAUACGAGAGGCCCAAGUUGAUAGCCACCGGCGUAAAGCGUGGUUAAGUUAAAAGUCAUGCUAAAGCCAAACAUCUUCAAGACUGUUAUACGUAACCGAAGACAGGAAGUUCAACCACGAAAGUGGCUUUAUUGAUCUGAACCCACGAAAGCUAAGGAACAAACUGGGAUUAGAAACCCCACUAUGCCUAGCCCUAAACAUUGAUAGUACUAUACAUCCACUAUCCGCCCGGGAACUACGAGCAAUAGCUUAAAACCCAAAGGACUUGGCGGUGCUUUAGAUCCACCUAGAGGAGCCUGUUCUAGAACCGAUAACCCCCGUUCAACCUCACCCUUCCUUGUUUAUCCCGCCUAUAUACCGCCGUCGUCAGCUUACCCUGUGAAGGUUAAAUAGUAAGCAAAACUGGCACAGCCUAAAACGUCAGGUCGAGGUGUAGCGAAUGGAGGGGGAAGAAAUGGGCUACAUUCGCUACUACAGCGAACACGAAAGAUGUACUGAAACAUCCAUCUGAAGGAGGAUUUAGCAGUAAGCAGGAAAUAGAGCGUCCCGCUGAAACUGGCCCUGAAGCGCGCACACACCGCCCGUCACUCUCCCCAAAGCCACCCACACAUUAAUUAAAACCUAAUAAUCAAAAAGGG